rfam:Capsicum annuum cultivar Zunla-1 chromosome 3, whole genome shotgun sequence
GUCCUUUCAGGGACAUCUGAUAAAAUUAAAACAAUACAAAGAAUAUUAGAAUAGCCUUCCACAAGGAUAACAUAAGCAAACUGGAAAAUGGUUUAGAUAUUUUU